GUUUCAUUUAAAAUUAAUUAGAAUUUUAUUUUUUAGUUAAAAAGCUAAAAUAUAUUCAAAAGACGAGAAGACCCUAUAAAUCUUGAUUAUUUAGUAAUUUUUAAUUUAUUUUGAUUUUUUUUAUUAUAAAUUUAUUAAUUAAUUUUAUUGGGGUGAUAUUAAAAUUUAAAUAACUUUUAAUAAUUUUUGUCAUUUAUUUAUGAUUAAGUGAUCCGUUAUUAGUGAUUAAAAAAUUAAGUUACUUUAGGGAUAACAGCGUAAUUUUUUUGGAGAGUUCUUAUCGAUAAAAAAGUUUGCGACCUCGAUGUUGGAUUAAGAUUCAUAUUUAAAUGCAGAAGUUUAAAUAUAAAGUCUGUUCGACUUUUUAUUCUUACAUGAUCUGAGUUCAAACCGGUGUAAGCCAGGUUGGUUUCUAUCUUUGAUUUAAUAAAAUAUUUUAGUACGAAAGGAAUUAAUAUUUAUUUUUAAAAAAUUAAUUUAUGAAU
rnacentral:rRNA from 1 species